rnacentral:rRNA from 1 species
GGGUGCGAUCAUACCAGCACUAAAGUAUCGGAUCCCAUCAGAACUCCGAAGUUAAGCGUGCUUGGACGAGAGUAGUACUAGGAUGGG